UAGCAACCAACAACCGCUCUGUCCACCACCUGAGCUGUACUAGGUUGUAAAACGAGCGCAACUAGAGUCGUCGUCACCUAGAAACCAUGUGAACAGUCUGUAACAUUCGGGUUACAACAGCUUAACAUGCAUGUUAAUUAAAGGAAAAUAUAUUAGUGACAUUUGUCAUAUGUAAGUAAAUAGUAACUUCAAAGCUACAUCAUGGCUGUAAGCUGCGUUCGAGCUGACCCACGGUUGGUGGAGUUCAACGAUAUCAAAAUCGGGCAUGUUUAUAAGAAGACAGUUACGGUAAAAAAAUAUUGGCAAAACUUCGAAGAAAAUAAUUUUUGAAAAGCCAGCGUUAAAGUUAUUCCAGUUCACAGCAGCUAGCCCAGCCAUGGUGGUGGUUCCUGGUUUGUUAAUUCCAGAGAAACAGGAGGAGGUCAGAGACUGCCUUUUGAUUCAUGUAGAAGAUACAGAGACCAUAAAGAUCCCCCUGCUGGAGUUUCCAAAGGUUUGUUCACUCCUGGUAGACUCUGUACUAGACUUUGGUUGUAUUGCUGCAAAUAAUCAGGUGAUCAGCAAACAUCAUCCUAUAACCAAUAAAGGAACAGCUCCAGCAUAAAACUUGAGAAUCGCUCUGCUAUAGCUCUGCAUAUCAAGACUGAGGUGGUGGACCAGUGCCUUGAGAUCUUUGAUCUGCAGGUAAUCCAGUGAUCCAGGUACAAUUUGAUAAGAACUUGACAAAGUAUCUACAUGUUCAACUUGGUUCCCGUUCCCCUCCAAACCAAGUUUAUGAUUAAGUUCUCUAAAGACAAAUUGUUGUACCAUUGUACAGGGGGCUCCACUCUCGUGUCUGUUGUUUGGGCCUGUUUACUUUGGAACAUCUCGUAUGGAGAAUGUGAUUCUGAAAAACAAUGCUCCUCAGGCCUGUUAUUGGGUCUGCCUGGUCCAGGAUAGUGCUACUGGGACUGAAGUGGUGAUUGUUGGGCAAGGAUGUGCUGUUAAACAUAGUACAGACCAGAUGAUGGCAAGUUGUGGAGAAAAGGUCCCAUAGUGACUAUUGGUAAAUGUCGAUCCUGUAUUUUGAUCAUCUUUACUGACAUUCUAUAAUUCUACACUAUUACAAGUUUGACUUGCAAGUAUAAGGAAAGAAUAAGUGUGUUGCCUUGAGUGAUUGUUAAUGACUGAAGUACUAUGUGCUGUGCUCACAUUUGCAACAGGAUUUCUUUUGUUGACCUAAAAUUGUCUAUGUUCAGUCUUAGACUAAUGUAGAAGUACUUAGUAUUUAUCUUCACCCAGCCUGGUAGUAAUAUUGCAUUGCAUUAUACUUAUCAUCUUGCAGAUGUCUGUUGUGUAAUUUAAGGAGUUCAAGCGAAUUAUAAAUAAAAGACAUGAAUAGUGUAAUGCAUAACAGUGAGUGGAGCACAAUUCAUUGCAUUAAACAUUUUAAUUAUUAUAUAUGCAUUCAGUAUUGGGAAAAUAGAAAUACUAAUGUAAUCAUUGUUUUAAAACAUACUGCCAUCUUUAAACAAGUGUGCAGAUACUGAGAAAUGAAACAACAGGGCUUUGACUGUGCAGUUUAUGUAGGGAACAAACCUCCAAAAGAGCACAGGCGCCACUCUGCUGGAGAGAAUCAAGAAGUGCAGGCCAGCCCCUCAGGAUGUCUCUCAGAUCUUGGUAUGUGUCCCUAAUCAGGGUCGACUGCAACCAUAUGACAGAGCCACUGUGGCAAUAUGCUUCAGCCCCAUCUGCAAGAGGUAAACUGUUUGUGUGAGUCCAGUUGUGUUUGACAUUUUGAAGACACAUUAUUAGAAGAGUCCAAGAUUCCAGUAGUCUAAACAUUUAAUAAUGAUAAUUGUUACUUAGAAAAUGUCAGUAUAUCUCAUGUACAUAUAGAAUUGCAGUUUUGUAAUGUUGUACUGUAGGAGUACUAUAUUUAGGAAACAAAUACAUUAAAAAACCUGUGGGAAGAAAAUGCUAACUCCCCGUCGGGGAAUUGAACCCCGGUCUCCCGCGUGACAGGCGGGGAUACUUACCACUAUACUAACGAGGAGCAUACAGUUAUAAUUUUGGAAAGUUCCAAUUUAUCUUAACCACUCCAAAGCAAUAUUCUGUCUUUCAGUGCAAUGGAAAGGAAGAAAAGUGAUUACUCAGCCAGCCAGCAAGCAAGACUAUUGUCUUUUCCUGCUGUUCGAGUCAGUGGGGAGCAAACAUGGAUGGCUUCACUCACCGUAGUGGUAACAGUAGUGUGGAGCUAGCAGUGACAGGUUCCGGGCUGCCUGUGUCUCUGGUGGCCAGUCCUUCUCGAAGAUUUGAUUUCCUCGCCUGUGUAACAGGUCAACGUGUAGAUGUGCGGUGUGUGCUGCAGAAUCUCUGCCCUCAACUUCCGCUUCCACAAGUUAGCACAUUUCACCACCAAGCCCUCUGUUGGCACCAUAGCCCCUGGUCAAUGCCAGGAUGUCAUUUUGUCUUUCACUGCACAGCAGCAAGGGAGCUUCCAGGUGCGUCAGAUUCUCGAUGUCCUAGGUCAUGUUGUUUACCAGAGCAGUGACAGCACGGGUGUUCCUAAAGUCAAGCUUCACAGUUUCCACACCAUCACUCUACACCUGUCUGCUGUCUGCUGCAGUGAAACUACGCACCCCAUGCCCAUACUCAAUUCUGGUGAAUACUGAAAAAGUAGUACUUGGUUUAGAUAAACAAAACAGACUGAUGUUCAGUGUGGCAUUUCAGGGUUCUUCAUAUGGUUGUGUCGUGGCAAGAGUGAAAUACCAACUGAAUAAAUUCAGACAAACCAUUACAAUUUAAAGGAUCAUUUAAUAUUACAAUUAUUCUAAAUAGAGUAGCAUCUAACAGAUAAUCUUCUAGUUAGGGAACAGAGAACAGAGAUCAGAGAACAGAGACUCUCCUCCUGCAAUGAAAUAGAUAGAGCCUAAAGAUUGUCGGAGCACCAGUCAGUCGUUGUCAGGUCCUUUGUUACCAGUCCUGGGUCAGUCAGCCCCAGUCAGUCAUAUUUUCCCCAGCCGGCUGGGUCCCUAGAAGGUACCUCGUCUACUGGUUACUGCAGCAUGGUCAUCUCCUUUCUAUCCCUGGCUCCCUCAGGCUCACUUCUUUUUAUCAGCUCAGCCACUAGCUACUUCUCAACAGCUGGACUCUGUCCCCCUUGACGUCUCUGCGACCCCCCUUCUCACUCCAUUCUAGGAAGACAGGAAGGUUGACUCCCAAUCUUCUGGCACAGAGGAUUCAUCUCUGACCAUACUAGGCCUUAACUAGGAUUCUAAGUAUUAAUUAUAUAACCACUUA